AAUUUGUGAAAAAGCUAAGAUACAUGGCAGCAACAAAAAUGGAGAAAGGUACUAUUUAUGAAUGGCCUUGAUUUCAGGAGUAAGCCGAUGUGGGGAGAGACUUGAUUGUGACUGAAGCAUGCUCACCUCACAAGACGAUGGGUCAUAAGAAUCUCAUCUUGGUGUCCAGGCCCUUGUUCUUCCACCUCUAACUCCAAUGCAACCUCCUGUGAUGCUGGUGGAUCCAAAAGGAUAGUUCAUGACACCAGGACCUCAUCCUCUUGCUCCUCCAGAAGGCUUGUGUGGACCACCAUGAGGAUGUUUUCAGCCAAGCCAUUUUGGUGGCCUGCAACAUUUUUCUAUCAAAGUAAGAAGCAUCUAUCCAACAAAGAAUUGUCAUUUUCCUCUCCAUAGAUUUCCUCCCAUUGCUGAGCUUCCAGAAGAG
ensembl:lncRNA